rnacentral:rRNA from 1 species
GACGAGCCACACAAACGUUAUUCGGAAUCACUGGGCUUAAAGGGUGCGUAGGCGGCGCGGAAAGUGGGGUGUGAAAGCCCUCGGCUCAACCGAGGAAUCGCGCUCCAAACUACCGUGCUUGAGUGAGACAGAGGUAAGCGGAACUUCGGGUGGAACGGUGAAAUGUGUUGAUAUCCGAAGGAACACCGGUGGCGAAAGCGGCUUACUGGGUCUCAACUGACGCUGAUGCACGAAAGCCAGGGUAGCAAACGGG